rnacentral:lncRNA from 1 species
UAAGCAAUCCUUUUCUGUUGUGUGAAGGUUUCACUUACAAUGUGUUUUCUGCUGUAGUUUUGUUUCUUACUUGGGUUACAUCAUGAAAUUGAUUUGCCUUGAAUGCAGCCAGACCACUGUCUCCUGGGUUCCCCUUGAGUGGCCAGGGCCUGGAUGGAAGCUAAGAGCUUGGAUUUCUGGGAACAAAGGGCCAUCCCCAUAAGAUUGAGCAGAAAUUCUGGUCCUCUUCCCUGAAAAAUUUUCCCCACCCCAGCCAGCAUCUUCUGCUUCCCCUUGGGUUGUGACCAGGGAGUGGGGAGAGAGGCUGAGGCUCUGCUCCCCUGGAGACCUUCUCUUAGGAGUUGGGUGCUUCAUGGAAAAUCCAAGCCUUAGGUUCCCUUCUGUCUCUGGCAAUUAGAUGUGUUCUUGGUGUCCUCCAUGUCCUUUUUGACUUUUCCCUGUGUCCAUUGUUAGCAUGUGCAAAAGUUCCCUGUCAUUACCCAACCCCUGCCCGCCCACCUCAUUUCAGGGCUGUACACACAGUGAGUGUUCCUGUUCUCUCUCUCUUUGUUUGGAUGUAUUGCUCUGUGUAACUCAGUGGGUCUCCCUCUUUCUGGUUUGUUUUUUUUUCUAGAUUCCUGCCGUUUGUUCAUCGUUGUGCCUAAAGCAUGUCGAUGUGGCGUCAAGUACAUCGUCCAAAUCCCUGUCUCUUCAGCUUCUCUGAUGCUUGAACUCUCACCUUUGACCUUGUGUUGACCUUUGAUGCUGAUGUGUAUUUUUAUUAUGUUUGUUUCUUUCUUCGUUUUUUUUUCUUUUUUUCUUUCCUUUUUUUUUCCUUUUGUGCUGCCAAAUUGGUUUUGCUAGAACGACUGCUGAAGGGGAAAUAUUUAAACUUGCAUUUGAAUAUAAAAAAAAUCUAUUUUUCUAGAACUUCAUAAGAUAACCACUUGAUUUUGUGAUUCCAAUUCUUUGUAAUUGUCUUCAGAGCAGCCCUACUAGCACAUACCGCGUGGUGUUUGUAUUUCUGUGAACACACAGCCAGUCCGUUUCUAGGCUUUGUUUCUCUGUGUGCUUAGUUUUAAAGACAACUUUGAAGUAAACAAUGAAAUAAAAGAUGUCACUAAAACCUCUGAGGCUCCUGAGCACAUUUUGCUGAUACAGUCUGUGGGGCUUGAGGAGACCGCAUGUAUUGUUCUUUCUUUUGUUUUUCUUCUGAGUUCUCAACUGCGGAGAGCACCUGAACCCCCUUUCCUUUUUGACCGCAGGCUGCACUUUGGGCCCCAGCCAGCCCUUUUUCUUUUUCUUUUUCUUUUGUGGUUCUUCCCUGGAGCGACUCUGGGGAGUCCUGGAUAUCCCGCCUGCCCCUUCCCCUCAGCCCCAUGCUUGUUCCAACAGUCUCCACAGCAAAAUGUGAUGCUUUGAUUUUUUUGUUGUUGUUUUUGUUUUUGUAUUGUUUUUGUGUUUUUGUUUUGAAUUUUUUCCUUUCCUACUAAGAUUAUGCCCAGAAAAAAGUUUUGCAUGUUUCCUGCUGUUUCUUCACACCUUCGUAUAUAUCACCUUCACCUCUCUGUUUUCUAUAGUUUGUGCAAAAACUGAUCGAUUUAAAAGGGUUUCAAAGAAGCUGUUUUAAAUUGUUGUAGGGUUGAUUAUUUUUUUCAAGAUUGUAUUGUUUAAUUUUGAAGUGGCAACUUUCUCCUCUAUUGCCCUUAGAGCGUUUGCCUGUGCACUUAGACUGUCACUUCGUGUGGCCUCCAGGUCUUACCGGGGCUUCCGGGAGGCUGGCUGCUUUGCUCAGAGAGGGUGGGAAGGGGGCCUGGAGAGACACGAGAAGCAGAGGUAGAGCCUAGAAGGUGGCAGCAGGUGGGUAAGAGGCUUAUUUAGCACAUUAGGGGCAGUGAGCACCUGGAGGAAGGAGGGCGCUCCCAAUCACCCGUAGGAGGCCAUCUGCACACCAAGCGGCAAUUCACCUGCUGGCGCUUUUCCUAGGUGACAAGCACAAUACUACAGUCUUCACACUGUUUACAGCCCUGGGCACCAGCCACCCGGCACUGGCUCUUCAUCACAGCUCUGCUCUUGCUUAGCUAGUGGGGUGGGGGAAAGGGCAGGGAUUUGUUUUUUUAAUUGGGUGGAGAGCCAAACAGCUACUGUCCCUGGGUGCCAAGCAAGCCAGUUUUUUGGUUCCCUGAGGGAAACUGACCCUCCUCUCUUGUGGCACCAUCCAGCCUCAGGGUCUUGGAGACUUGAGUAAGAAUGUGAGUGGAGGGGGAGAGGUGAGGAGAGGAGCACAGGGUGGAUCUGUGGAGGGAAGAGGUUACAGGGGGAGGAGCUGAUGAUAGAUCCCACCCAGACUUAAGCUGCUGGUGGGUGGGUGAGCUGGGAAGUAGGACUGUCCAGGGAAGGGUGGAGAGAUGUAGCUAGGGGCUGGGGAGGGGGAGGUGGAAGCGCUAUUGAGCAUCCUCCACACCAAGGUUGAUGAAGGAAGGGAUCCCAGCAGGGUUUCUGCUCUGGGGCUGGCAGGUUGCCUGGUAUUAUGCCCAAGGCCGCUCUGCCUGGGGGAAAGGGCAGCCAGGCAGAGGCCCAGUGUCUGGUAGGCUGCUGAAUUUCCUGGAAGGGGUGAUUGGAUGGAAAGAGGCCAGAAACCCCAGCCUGAGAGACUGCUGUGCACCCCACAGUCUGACUGCACAGAGCCGCCUCUGUUGGCAGGAGGCACUGAGGCUCCCCUUCCUGUGUAUUGAGAAGCAGUGUUUGCCAAUAUAUUUUGCUUUCAAUUCCAAGAGGAGCUCUGGGAAAACCUGUGGAUAAAACCAAAUGCCAAAUGUUGGACGUUGUUUCCUUUUCCUUUUCUCUCUCUGAUUGUUUUAAUUGUUCUGUGGUGGUUUUAAUGGAUUUGAGACCCUGGAGCGGCAGCUGCCUUUCUGAUUUCCAGCUGCUUUUUGUGAAUAAUUUAAAAAGAAAAAAAAAAAGAAACUUUACAUUUUGGAGACAAACCUGUGUGAGUUUUUUAUUGGUACAAACGUUGUAUUUAACACUAGGGGUUUUGUACAGUUUUUUGCCUUUUCUACUAGAAAACAAUGUAAAGUGAUUUCACAAUGUG